rnacentral:lncRNA from 1 species
GGGGAGGUGGCUGGGGAAAGGAUUCCAACUCUGAGUUCUAUUGUGGGAAGGUGAGCAGAGUCAAGCUCUGUGGCUCAGUGGAACUUAUUCCUGCCCACAAGCUCAACAUCUCCACCUCUGCCCCCAGCAGUGGAGUUAUGACAGCAAAGGAGACAAGGUGAAUAGGGAUCACCCCAGAGGAUCAGUAUGGGAUGAGGCCAGCCGGUGAAUCACCCACGCUCCCAAGGAACCCACGCCACAGGAACACACACCUCCAGGUUUCUCCCAUCUCCGUAAGAUCUUGAGGACCUUCAACAGCACUUCAGCAAAAAACAUUUUCAG